UACGUAGGGGGCUAGCGUUGUCCGGAAUCAUUGGGCGUAAAGAGCGUGUAGGCGGUCCGGUAAGUCCGCUGUGAAAGUCGGGGGCUCAACCCUCGAAUGCCGGUGGAUACUGUCGGGCUAGAGUGCGGAAGAGGCGAGUGGAAUUCCUGGUGUAGCGGUGAAAUGCGCAGAUAUCAGGAGGAACACCAGUGGCGAAGGCGACUUCCUGGCCUGUUCUUGACGCUGAGGCGCGAAAGCUAGGGUAGCAAACGGG
rnacentral:rRNA from 1 species